CGUGGGGUAGACUAUUAAGGAAGUCAAUAGGCUCAUAACCUGGAAAUAUGCGAGUGCAUUCCCAUGU
rnacentral:tRNA from 1 species